CUACGUGCCAGCAGCCGCGGUAAUACGUAGGUGGCAAGCGUUGUCCGGAUUUAUUGGGCGUAAAGCGCACGCAGGCGGUUUGUUAAGUCAGAUGUGAAAUCCCCGCGCUUAACGUGGGAACUGCAUUUGAAACUGGCAAGCUAGAGUCUUGUAGAGGGGGGUAGAAUUCCAGGUGUAGCGGUGAAAUGCGUAGAGAUCUGGAGGAAUACCGGUGGCGAAGGCGGCCCCCUGGACAAAGACUGACGCUCAGGUGCGAAAGCGUGGGGAGCAAACAGGAUUAGAUACCCUGGUAGUCCACGCUGUAAACGAUGUCGACUUGGAGGUUGUGCCCUUGAGGCGUGGCUUCCGGAGCUAACGCGUUAAGUCGACCGCCUGGGGAGUACGGCCGCAAGGUUAAAACUCAAAUGAAUUGACGGGGGCCCGCACAAGCGGUGGAGCAUGUGGUUUAAUUCGAUGCAACGCGAAGAACCUUACCUACUCUUGACAUCCAGAGAAUUCGCUAGAGAUAG
rnacentral:rRNA from 1 species